GCAUAUCAAUAAGCGGAGGAAAAGAAACUAACAAGGAUUCCCCUAGUAACUGCGAGUGAAGCGGGAAAAGCUCAAAUUUAAAAUCUGGCGGUCUUCGGCCGUCCGAGUUGUAAUCUGGAGAAGCGUUUUCCGCGCUGGACCGUGUACAAGUCUCUUGGAACAGAGCGUCAUAGAGGGUGAGAAUCCCGUCUUUGACACGGACUACCAGUGCUAUGUGAUGCGCUCUCGAUGAGUCGAGUUGUUUGGGAAUGCAGCUCAAAAUGGGUGGUAAAUUCCAUCUAAAGCUAAAUAUUGGCGAGAGACCGAUAGCGAACAAGUACCGUGAGGGAAAGAUGAAAAGCACUUUGGAAAGAGAGUUAAACAGUACGUGAAAUUGCUGAAAGGGAAACGAUUGAAGUCAGUCGCGUGUGCUAGAACUCAGCCUUGCUUUUGCUUGGUGCAUUUUCUAGUGUACGGGCCAGCAUCAGUUUUGGCCGCCGGAAAAAGGCCUUGGGAAUGUGGCACCUUCGGGUGUGUUAUAGCCCUUGGUUGUAUACGGUGGCUGGGACUGAGGAACAUAGCAUGCCUUUAUGGCGGGGCUUCGGCCACCUUCAUGCUUUGGAUGCUGGCGUAAUGGCUUUAAACGACCCGUCUUGAAACACGGACCAAGGAGUCUAACAUGCCUGCGAGUGUUUGGGUGGAAAACCCGAGCGCGUAAUGAAAGUGAAAGUUGGGACUUCUGUCGUGGAAGGCACCGACGCCCGGACCAGACCUUCUGUGACGGAUCCGCGGUAGAGCAUGUAUGUUGGGACCCGAAAGAUGGUGAACUAUGCCUGAAUAGGGUGAAGCCAGAGGAAACUCUGGUGGAGGCUCGUAGCGAUUCUGACGUGCAAAUCGAUCGUCAAAUUUGGGUAUAGGGGCGAAAGACUAAUCGAACCAUCUAGUAGCU
rnacentral:rRNA from 1 species